rnacentral:lncRNA from 1 species
AUCUCCCAAAAUCCAUGAGAUUUAAUCUCCCAUUAAGGCAAGAAAUUUGUUUUCCUCUUUCUCUUGAUUUCCUAUGUAAUUUAGGAAGGAAAUUCACUCCUUAGAUGAUUCUCCCUUUAAGAAGAAAUUCUUUUCCCUUUCCUUUCUCACAUCACAAUGGGUUAAACAAAGAAAAUUAAUUAGGAUGAGAUUUUACAAACUUAACUAAGUGAUAAAUUGAGAAAAUGGGUAACGUGGAAAUUAGGGGUAAAUAAAAAUAGAUGAAGAUUUGUUCUAGGGAAUUUGGGAAUUAUUGGAUAAGAAAUUCUAAGGUUGAGUUAAAAGAAAUCAAGUAAAUGAAAAAUGAAUAAAAAAAUUUGCAAAUUAAGACUAUUUUAGCUGAGAAAAUGGGUAAUGUGGAAAAUGGGGGUAAAUAGAAAUAGAUGAAGAUUACUUUAGGGAAUUUGGGAAUUAUCGGAUAAGAAGUUCUAAGGUUGAGUUAAAAGAAAUUUAAGUAAAUGAAAAAUGAACAAAAAAGCUAAGAAAAAACUUUUUGACAUAAUAAUAGUGGUUGGAAACGAAUUUGAAGUAAACUAAAAUAACCAAGUAAGAAAAUUAAGAUAAGAAUUAAGUUAGAGUAAAUAAGAAUUCAUGAGUGUUAAGAACAUAUGAAAAAUAGAAGGAGAAUUAAAAGAUAUUACAUGUAACGAC